CUUUCCGGAUCACAGACACGAAGUUGCGUCUUCUCUAGCCGAUUGCCGAACCUUUUCUUCCUUGAGUGACGCCAUUGGGUCGAGCAUUUGCCAUCCGAUCGUCGACGGGAAGAGACCAUUAGGGCCUUGAGGGUUAGGUCAUGGAUUCCUUCAUUCUUGUUGUUGAUUGAGGGUUAGAGGAAUCCUUGGUACACAGAAUCGAAUCGGGCGACACCUUAUGGAGACAAUUGGUUGAGAGGUAUCGGGUUGGUGGACAGUAGCUACAUUAGGGCUGUGGGGUGCUGUUCUGUUCUUGCUGUGGUGUUUCCUUGCCGGCAGCCCUCAAACCAGCAUCAACAGUAGCUUGAUUGAGGACUCUGAUUAGAGACAGGCGUCUCGACCUUGGAUUGCUUGAUCGUACCUUCUAUUUGAGG